AUUGAACGCUGGCGGCAGGCUUAACACAUGCAAGUCGAACGGUAACAGGAAGCAGCUUGCUGCUUCGCUGACGAGUGGCGGACGGGUGAGUAAUGUCUGGGAAACUGCCUGAUGGAGGGGGAUAACUACUGGAAACGGUAGCUAAUACCGCAUAACGUCGCAAGACCAAAGAGGGGGACCUUAGGGCCUCUUGCCAUCGGAUGUGCCCAGAUGGGAUUAGCUAGUAGGUGGGGUAACGGCUCACCUAGGCGACGAUCCCUAGCUGGUCUGAGAGGAUGACCAGCCACACUGGAACUGAGACACGGUCCAGACUCCUACGGGAGGCAGCAGUGGGGAAUAUUGCACAAUGGGCGCAAGCCUGAUGCAGCCAUGCCGCGUGUAUGAAGAAGGCCUUCGGGUUGUAAAGUACUUUCAGCGGGGAGGAAGGGAGUAAAGUUAAUACCUUUGCUCAUUGACGUUACCCGCAGAAGAAGCACCGGCUAACUCCGUG
rnacentral:rRNA from 1 species